rnacentral:rRNA from 1 species
AGAGUUUGAUCCUGGCUCAGAGCGAACGCUAGCGGCAGACUUAACACAUGCAAGUCGAGCGAGAAACCACCUUCGGGUGGCGGACAGCGGCGAACGGGUGAGUAACACGUAGGUUACGUACCCUUUGGUGGGGGAUAGCCCAGGGAAACCUGGAUUAAUACCGCAUAUGACUCCGGUUGAAAGCCUUCGGGCGCCAAAGGAUCGGCCUGCGGCCCAUUAUUUAAUCCUAGACGGUGAGGUAACGGCUCACCGUGGGUACGAUGGGUAGCUGGUCUGAGAGGAUGAUCAGCCACACUGGGACUGAGACACGGCCCAGACUCCUACGGGAGGCAGCAGUGGGGAAUAUUGGACAAUGGGCGAAAGCCUGAUCCAGUCAUGCCGCGUGUGUGAUGAAGGCCUUAGGGUUGUAAAGCACUGUCGGGAGGGAAGAAAGCUUCGGCUUGACGGUACCUCGCAAGAAAGCACCGGCUAACUCCGUGCCAGCCGCCGCGGUAAUAC